rnacentral:rRNA from 1 species
AUUGAACGCUGGCGGCAGGCCUAACACAUGCAAGUCGAACGAGUGGCGGACGUGAUAGUAAUGUAUGGGAAUCUGCCCGAUGGAUGGGGAUAACUACUGGAAACUGUAGCUAAUACCGCAUUCCAUCGGAUGUGCCCAGAUGGGAUUAGCUAGUAGGUGGGGUAACGGCUCACCUAGGCGACGCACCCUAGCUGGUCUGAGAGGAUGAACCGCCAAACUGGAACGGAGACACGGUCCAGACUCCUACGGGAGGCAGCAGUGGGGAAUAUUGCACAAUGGGCGGAAGCCUGAUGCAGCCAUGCCGCGUGUAUGAAGAAGGCCUUCGGGUGGUAAAGUACUUUCAGUGAGGAGGCGUUACUCGCAGAAGAAGCACCGGCUAACUCCGUGCCAGCCGCCGCGGUAAUUC